rnacentral:snoRNA from 1 species
GCCAUCCAGGAUGACGAGAUGAUCUCCUACAUCAUCCAUGGGCUGGACAUGGACUACCAGCCUCUUGUCUCGGCCCUCGACGCCCGCGUCACGCCCGUCUCCCUCGACGAACUCUUUGCCAUGCUCAGCAACUUCGAUC